CUGCGCUCUCUCGCAUUGUCUCUCUCGUUUGUGUUCGUUGUAACCACCAACUAGCCAACCCCUUUUCGCUGUGUUUCGUUCGUUCGGAUAAUUACGCUAUCCACGCGUGAUCAUCGUUCGGACGACUCUGGCGCAUUUUGUGCAGCGCAUAGAAAUACUCGUUGAUUUUGAGAUCAGGCGUUGUGUGUAAAGUAUGUUUGCGUAGUUAGACCUAGUUGGCUGUUUGACUUUUGAUCUGUUCCGUGUUGUUGUUUUUAUAAUUACGCUAUCCGCGUGUAUCCGGAGUUUCGAUAACCGUGGCGCAUGUUGCCGAGCGCAUAGAAAUACUCGUUGGCUUUGAGAUCAGGCGUGCUGCACGUGAAGCUUCGCGUAGUUAGACCCAGUUGGCUGUUUGACUUUUCAUCUGUCGUGUGUGUUUUUAUAAUUAUGCUAUCCGUGUGUGCCUAAAGUUUCGAUAACCGUGACGCAUUUUAUGGAGUGCACAGGAACACACGCUGCUGCUGAGAUCAGGUGUUACAGAGCGAGUGUGGUAUGGUGGUAUAUUGAAGUUUUUAAGAGAACUAUUGGUCGAUGUUGGCAGACGUUGACUGACGUUGAACAGAAGGCUGUACAUUACGUGCAACCAGUACACCGUAACGUUUAAAAUUGCCACGGGAUUAAACUCAAAGAAAUCGUCGAUGGCGAAAACAGGUAAGACAGAUUUAGAACUAAAACAGAAGAAUAUUGUAAAUUGAAUUUUCCGCAACAAACAGAAUUUAACGACAGUGUGUUAUUAAAGGUAUCAGCAUUUCUGAUGAGACUACACGCGAUUGAAUUAUCUUUCCUGGUGGUUAAUGUGGAAAUUAGUUUAUCGUGUGUCUGGUGGACGGAAUGCUGAAUGUAAUGAGAUGUUUCGUAAUAACAUGUUAUUAAAGCAGUGAGUGUUGUUAAUGAACAUAGGAAAGUGUGACUGAACUGAAAAUUUCAACUGUUUUAUUGGGGAAUCAGGAAAAUUUUUAUAAUAGUCCCUACCUUUGACAAACAUAGUGGGAUUUAUAAAAAUUUAUAUAAAAAAUUGUCUAAUUUGUACUUCUUAUUAUUUCCUGGAUUUUCACUUUGAGAAGCUUUCAGCCGUCAAUCGCACGCUCUUAGAAAUUCUACGUGCUUUAUCUUACAUCGCGAGGAAAAGUAGUUUUCCAGCCACUCUCUUGGAUAGAAUAAUUCUAGUGAUUAUGCUAUUUAAUAACAAUGCCGUUGAACACUUAAUGUAUUAUUUUUUAUCAUUAAGUAAAAAAAAUUUUCCUAGAAAGCGUAGUUCAAAAUUGACCUUUCAUCGAUAUUUUUGAAACAUGGAUAAUUAGUAUAGUUUAAAUCAAAAUAUAUUAGAUUAAUUUAAAAAUAUUUACACAAAUUUGUUACUUGUUCUAAAUUUUACGUGAAACUGGAUAUUAACAGAUACUAAUUGCGUCAAAGUACUUGGGAGGCAAUAACGUUGAAACUACAUAAAUUAUUCUAAAUCCAACUCAAAUCGUACUGCGUUGCCUAUGAAUAUUAUUAACAAUGUUGGAAUUGAAAAUUUAAUUGCGAGAGAUUAAUUUAUUUAGCCUUUACAAAUGCGAACAAUCUCCUUUGCGUAAUAAAUUAAACUGUAAGAAGAGAAGAAUAGAAAAAAGAGAAAAAAGAUAAUGAAGCAAAUAUACUGUAAUAAAAAAAAAGACUCGUAAUUGAAAUGAAGUUCUUCUUUGAAAUCUUCAAAGAACGAGAAAAUUCACAAAGGAAUUUGUCGGAAGUAUUUGAUGUGCCUCAUUAAGUAAAAUCGAUUUCUCUUGAAACAUUCUACUCAAGCUAACAAUUAGCAGUGUUUCACUUUAUGCAGGCAAUUAUUAGUUGAGCUAUUUAUUUCACGAUAAAUAACCUUGAUUUAAGCUCUGUGUUGCAACCGUUUCAUUUACCAUGUAAUAUAUGGCCAAGCAUUUGUUUUAACCGGGAUCCAGCGAAAUCUACUUUCUGAUGAUAAAGUUAUACGGAGGUACAAUUAGAAGAAACGAUCUUCGUCACGAUAGGAGAACUUUCCUCUGAUUAUUGCGCGUCAGAAUUUUGUAGUUUCUUUAAAGUGAAUUUAAGGUUCGUGGAUUUACGUUUUUGUUGUCGUUGUGAAAAAUAUAAGCUGUACGAAAUAAAAUUCUGAAAUACAAUUAAAAAAUUCUUUUUACAAGACAAAAGAAAAGAAACGGAAGAAAUAUUCAGAUAUCCUUCAAUUCCUUUGUAAAAAGAAUAUGAUUUUUUAAAUGUACGAUUACAUCAAAUUUGUUUGUGAAUGUUUUCCGAUAUUACAGGAAUGAAACCAUUUUGUCAAAUCCAUCGAAAAUGAUUCGAUUCCAGGGAAAUAAGUAAUAUUGAAUGUAGGAAAUACAUGGUGACAAUUUCCAUUAAGCUUAUAUUGCAUCAUCAAUCAAUAAUUUAUUCAUAACGUACUUCCACUAAAUGCAACAUUAUAUUGUCAUCGUCACUCAAUAAUCCACACGACAAAGACGAUUUGAUUAUCAGUCAUUUAUAAAAUAGAAUCCCAAUCGAAAACGCUAUUGCUGCAAAAACAACAAACAAAUGGUUCCACAUACACGAAACCUUCCAUAAAUUUAUACUGAUGAUUACCGUUCUAUUGAUACUGCGUUAUCAAUUAAUAACUGACUCAUAAAAUAUUACACUUCCGACAUCGUGAAAUUUAAUUUUACAUCAAUAUUAUCAGUUAAUGGCGUACGUAACAGUAAAAUCGUUUACAGAAUCAAUUAUUAUUAUAGAAAAUGCAAAUUUUAGUCGAAGAUAUUAUUGGAACUAACCUGACAGCCACGACUAUAA